ensembl:rRNA 5S_rRNA 5S ribosomal RNA
GCUUACGGCCAUACCCCCCUGAGCGCACCCGAGCUCAUCUGAUUUUGGAAGCUAAGCAGGAUUGGGCCUGGUUAGUACUUGGAUGGGAGACCACCUGGGAAUACCAGGUGCUGUGAACU